UCUAUUUUUCGCAAACGCAUAUGUUCGUGUGUUUUUACAUAGUUCAGGCGUAUCCCACACUGCACAUAUUUUUGUCACUGCCAGAUUGAAGAAGGUGAGUUCUACGUACUUCAAUACUAAUAAUACUAGUUUUUGAUCGAAAAACUUGUCAAAAACCAGCUUGCAGGUAACUUGGUGCCAGUCAACAAAAUUAUAAACUUAUGUAGCUUGCAUGCUCUAUUUCGACCGAUGUUCACAUCGUAUACUGUGAGGGCGCAUUUACGCUAGAUUCAACUCAAAACCUGCUGACUCCUGAAAUUGUUAAUCUUGGAAACAAGCUCGAAAAAUUCUACGUUAUUUUGAAAUGCACUGUGAUCUACGGUGUAUUGAGUACACUGCCGUGCUUGGGUCAUCAAUAAAGCAAUCAAGUGAUGUCUAGCCAAGGCUGGUUUUUUACUCUUGCAACGUGCUCUUUUUGUGACCUUUUAUAUAUUUGCACAACAACAUAUUUUCAUUGUCUGACGUAGUAGUAACAGCUUGAUGUACCUACUUGAUUGAAGCCCAGAUAUUGGUACUUGAAAAUUGGUUGGCGCAAUUUUAGCUACAGUCUGGCUGCAAAUUGUAACACACAUAUUAACCAUAAUUUUAUAUUGUCUCCUAUAGCAAGUUGGGCUAUGUAGUGCUAAUUGGUAGAUCCAGACAUGAUCUCUAUAAAUGGAUUUUGUGUUGGGACUUCACUGUUCUAUGUCUUCUUCGGCUGGAGAACGUCGCUAUGUCUUUGAUUUGGCUCGUACUACGGUUGCAAUGCUUUUCUUUUUGGCAUUGGCGUUCGUUUAUAGUUUCAACUUAUAGACUGCCUAGAAUUAGCGAUUGUGUCUGCGCGUUCGAUUAAUUUUCAUACUCAACAGCAAAAAUAAAGAAAAUUGUGCAUUUUGA